UACGUAGGGGGCUAGCGUUGUUCGGAAUCACUGGGCGUAAAGCGCGUGUAGGCGGCUAAGUAAGUCGGGUGUGAAAGCCCUCAGCUCAACUGAGGAAGUGCGCCCGAAACUGCUUGGCUUGAGUGCCGGAGAGGAUGGCGGAAUACCCCAAGUAGAGGUGAAAUUCGUAGAUAUGGGGUGGAACACCGGUGGCGAAGGCGGCCAUCUGGACGGUAACUGACGCUGAGACGCGAAAGCGUGGGUAGCAAACAGG
rnacentral:rRNA from 1 species